GAUCAUGGCUCAGGAUGAACGCUAGCUACAGGCUUAACACAUGCAAGUCGAGGGGAAACGACAUCGAAAGCUUGCUUUUUGAUGGGCGUCGACCGGCGCACGGGUGAGUAACGCGUAUCCAACCUGCCCAUCACUUGGGAAUAACCUUGCGAAAGUAAGACUAAUGCCCAAUGAUAUCCCACGAAGGCAUCCGAAUGGGAUUAAAGAUUUAUCGGUGAUGGAAUGGGGAUGCGU
rnacentral:rRNA from 1 species